rfam:Salmo salar isolate Sally breed double haploid chromosome ssa12, whole genome shotgun sequence.
GUCCCGUGAGGCUCAGUUGGUAGAGCAUGGUGUUUGCAACGCCAGGGUUGUGGGUUCGAUUCCCACGGGGGACC